rnacentral:misc_RNA from 1 species
GAAAUGCGAGAAGUAGUGUGAAUUGUAGAAUUCAGUGAAUCAUCGAAUCUUUGAACGCACAUUGCGCCCUUUGGUAUUCCAAAGGGCAUGCCUGUUCGAGCGUCAUUUGUACCCUCAAGCUUUGCUUGGUGUUGGGCGUCUUGUCUCUAGCUUUGCUGGAGACUCGCCUUAAAGUAAUUGGCAGCCGGCCUACUGGUUUCGGAGCGCAGCACAAGUCGCACUCUCUAUCAGCAAAGGUCUAGCAUCCAUUAAGCCUUUUUUCAACUUUUGACCUCGGAUCAGGUAGGGAUACCCGCUGAACUUAAGC